CCUACGGGAGGCAGCAGUGAGGAAUAUUGGUCAAUGGGCGCUAGCCUGAACCAGCCAAGUAGCGUGAAGGAUGACUGCCCUAUGGGUUGUAAACUUCUUUUAUAUGGGAAUAAAGUGCAGUAUGUAUACUGCUUUGCAUGUACCUUAUGAAUAAGGAUCGGCUAACUCCGUGCCAGCAGCCGCGGUAAUACGGGGGAUCCGAGCGUUAUCCGGAUUUAUUGGGUUUAAAGGGAGCGUAGGCGGGUUGUUAAGUCAGUUGUGAAAGUUUGCGGCUAAACCGUAAAAUUGCAGUUGAUACUGGCAGCCUUGAGUACAGUAGAGGUAGGAGGAAUUCGUGGUGUAGCGGUGAAAUGCUUAGAUAUCACGAAGAACUCCGAUUGCGAAGGCAGCCUGCUGGACUGUAACUGACGCUGAUGCUCGAAAGUGUGGGUAUCAAACAGGAUUAGAUACCCUGGUAGC
rnacentral:rRNA from 1 species